GACGAACGCUGGCGGCGUGCCUAAUACAUGCAAGUCGAGCGCAGGAAGUCAUCCGAACCCUUCUGGGGGACGUUGACGGAAUGAGCGGCGGACGGGUGAGUAACACGUAAAGAACCUGCCCUCAGGUCUGGGAUAACCACGAGAAAUCGGGGCUAAUACCGGAUGGGUCAUCGGACCGCAUGGUCCGAGGAUGAAAGGCGCUCCGGCGUCGCCUGGGGAUGGCUUUGCGGUGCAUUAGCUAGUUGGUGGGGUAAUGGCCCACCAAGGCGACGAUGCAUAGCCGACCUGAGAGGGUGAUCGGCCACACUGGGACUGAGACACGGCCCAGACUCCUACGGGAGGCAGCAGUAGGGAAUCUUCCACAAUGGACGAAAGUCUGAUGGAGCAACGCCGCGUGAACGAUGAAGGCCCUCGGGUCGUAAAGUUCUGUUGUAAGGGAAGAACAAGUGCCGCAGGCAAUGGCGGCACCUU
rnacentral:rRNA from 1 species